GUGUCAGCAGCCGCGGUAAUACGUAGGGUCCGAGCGUUGUCCGGAAUUAUUGGGCGUAAAGGGCUCGUAGGCGGUUUGUCGCGUCGGGAGUGAAAACUCAGGGCUCAACCCUGAGCGUGCUUCCGAUACGGGCAGACUAGAGGUAUGCAGGGGAGAACGGAAUUCCUGGUGUAGCGGUGGAAUGCGCAGAUAUCAGGAGGAACACCGGUGGCGAAGGCGGUUCUCUGGGCAUUACCUGACGCUGAGGAGCGAAAGCAUGGGGAGCGAACAGGAUUAGAUACCCCCGUAGUCC
rnacentral:rRNA from 1 species